CGGUUGACCUCGGAUCAGGUAGGGAUACCCGCUGAACUUAAGCAUAUCAAUAAGCGGAGGAAAAGAAACCAACCGGGAUUGCCUCAGUAACGGCGAGUGAAGCGGCAACAGCUCAAAU
rnacentral:rRNA from 1 species